rnacentral:RNase_P_RNA from 1 species
UCAGAUGGCUGGAAGAUCGCUGCUGCAUGAGCAGGAGAGGAAAGUCCGGGCACCACAGAAGAAUGGUGCUGGUUAAUGGCCAGCGAAGGUAACUUCAGGGAUAGUGCCACAGAAAGUAAACCGCCUGCUCGGCAGGUAAGGGUGAAAGGGUGCGGUAAGAGCGCACCGCCUUUUUGGUGACAAAAAGGGCAUGGUAAACCCCACCAGGUGCAAAAUCGAAUAGGAACGACAGGCUUAGGCCGCUUUCUUCUGAAGUGUCGUUCGGGUUGAUUGCAUGAAGCUUUUGGUAACAAAAGUUCUAGAUGAAUGAUCUUACAAAUGGGCAACCAUUGGACAGAACCCGGCUUAUAGGCCAUCUGACAUU